rfam:Lepisosteus oculatus linkage group LG3, whole genome shotgun sequence.
GCCAGCAGUCAUAUCACCCUGCAGCUCACAACUGGCAGCCCACAGAAGCUAAGUAGGUGUAAGCCUGGUCAAUACCUGAAUGGGAGACCUCCUGGGAAAAACUAAGGUUGCUGCUGGAA